UAAGUUCGUAUCCCUUUCCACCCUUAAAAACAUAUUAGUGAGUAAGUUUUUUUUUCCGGAUGCAACAAGGCUAGUAUGGCUCCGGUUCUGGCUGCCCCUAAUGCUCCAAUCUGCGGGAACGGUCCAAUCCGAUCCGAUGGUGAGGAUUAGCCUUUGCAACGACCCCCACACUGAUUUAUUCCCCUUUCCUUUUUAUUGCUGGUCUCCUUUUCAUUUUCAUUUCCAUUAUUUUCUAGUCUAUCUUUCCACCUUCACCUUCUUCUUUGAUGCAUUUGCACUCACAUUUGGAGGUUAUUUUUAUUUAUUAUUGGUGAUUAUGAACAUAGUUUGAAUAUAAUGCUCUAUGGUAACGUCACUUUGUAUUAGGAUUAUCUGUACACAACGAGAGCCCUUUACUGUUUUUUUAUAUCAAUUCUUGUUUAACUUUCCCUUCUCUUCCCUUCCCGUCCACUCGCAUCGCAUCGGUUACUCAUCCCGGCAGUCGAGGGGGCAUGACGUGAAGUGAGUAAGGGAAGGAGAAGAAUGAGGAAGAACAAGUAUGGAGCGAAAAAGAAUGAUGAGUAAGUAAGGGGAAGGUGAGUAGUGAGGGGGGACGGUGGUGGAGUGAAGGGGGAAAGAGGUGGAAUGUAGAGGAGGGAAAGAAGUAGAGUUGGAAGGAUAUGGACGAGGGACGGGGAACGGGGGGCAGAGGACUGGGGGUGGGUACAGGAGCGAUGACGGGAGGCUUAUUAUUGAAGGCCCUCGGGAGGCGGUGGUGCGUUUGACAGGACUAAAGAGGGACAGCGGGUGGUGGUGGAUGUCCCGUUUACGUUAGCCACGGGAGGGGAUGGCAGAGACGUAGUGGGCAGAAAAGUAUAUACGUAAUUAAAUAGAGAAUGCGUGUUAGGGGAGUAGAGAAUGUAAGUGGGUGAAGAGGUAAGUACUGAAGUGACUUGAGACUGUAUGUAUGUAAGUAUAGAAUGCGUAUAAGUGAGUAGAGAGGUAAAUGAAAUGAGUUAGUGGUAGAAGAUUAGUGAGUAGAGAGGUUAAUGGAUAGAGUAAGUGGUAGAAGAUUAGUGAGUAGAGAAGUAAAUGAAUAGAGUUAGUGGUAGAAGAUUAGUGAGUAGAGAAGUAAAUGGAUAGAGUAAGUGGUAGAAGAUUAGUGAGUAGAGAGGUAAAUGAAAUGAGUUAGUGGUAGAAGAUUAGUGAGUAGGGAAGUAAAUGAAUAGAGUUAGUGGUAGAAGAUUAGUGAGUAGAGAGGUAAAUGGAUAGAGUAAGUGGUAGAAGAUUAGUGAGUAGAGAAGUAAAUGAAUAGAGUUAGUGGUAGAAGAUUAGUGAGUAGAGAAGUAAAUGAAUAGAGUUAGUGGUAGAAGAUUAGUGAGUAGAGAAGUAAAUGAAUAGUUAGUGGUAGAAGAUUAGUGAGUAGAGAAGUAAAUGAAUAGAGUAAGUGGUAGAAGAUUAGUGAGAAGAGAAGUAAAUGAAUAGAGUUAGUGGUAGAAGAUUAGUGAGUAGAGAAGUAAAUGAAUAGAGUUAGUGGUAGAAGAUUAGUGAGUAGAGAAGUAAAUGGAUAGAGUUAGUGGUAGAAGAUUAGUGAGUAGAGAAGUAAAUGAAUAGAGUUAGUGGUAAAAGAUUAGUGAGUAGAGAAGUAAAUGAAUGAGUUAGUGGUAGAAGAUUAGUGAGAAGAGAAGUAAAUGAAUGAGUUAGUGGUAGAAGAUUAGUGAGAAGAGAAGUAAAUGAAUAGAGUUAGUGGUAGAAGAUUAGUGAGUAGAGAAGUAAAUGAAUAGAGUUAGUGGUAAAAGAUUAGUGAGUAGAGAAGCAAAUGAAUGAGUUAGUGGUAGAAGAUUAGUGAGUAGAGAAGUAAGUAUGUGGAUAGAGAACUGAGUAGAGAAAUGAGUAGAGAUUUAGGUGGGUAUUAUAAGAUACUACUAUAGCUUCUCACACCAGCUAUU